GAGGAAUAUUGGUCAAUGGGCGCAAGCCUGAACCAGCCAUGCCGCGUGCAGGAAGACGGUCCUAUGGAUUGUAAACUGCUUUUAUACAGGAAGAAACCUCCCUACGUGUAGGGACUUGACGGUACUGUAGGAAUAAGGAUCGGCUAACUCCGUGCCAGCAGCCGCGGUAAUACGGAGGAUCCAAGCGUUAUCCGGAAUCAUUGGGUUUAAAGGGUCCGUAGGCGGUCUUAUAAGUCAGUGGUGAAAGCCCAUCGCUCAACGAUGGAACUGCCAUUGAUACUGUAAGACUUGAAUUUUUGUGAAGUAACUAGAAUAUGUAGUGUAGCGGUGAAAUGCUUAGAUAUUACAUGGAAUACCAAUUGCGAAGGCAGGUUACUAACAAACGAUUGACGCUGAUGGACGAAAGCGUGGGGAGCGAAC
rnacentral:rRNA from 1 species